GGGUUUAUGAUGAUAACUAUAAUUAUCUUAGCGGAUUUCAGUGAGAUUUUAUUAUCAAUGAUCUCAUUGUUACACACACCGAAGCCC
rfam:Solanum tuberosum cultivar DM 1-3 516 R44 scf00236_69, whole genome shotgun sequence.